AAAUAGCCCCGAUUGAAGUAAAAAUCCUUAUAAGGCAAGUGUUUUGCCUUAUAAGAUUGAAACGGAAAGCGGGAGAAUUC
rfam:Flavobacterium frigoris strain DSM 15719 genome assembly, contig: Ga0131223_121